AUAUAUGCACGUAGCCGUUUACAAAGUGAUCAAUUCAUCACACACGAAACAAAUAAUUGAUCUGCAAGUCAUCGUAAUUCGUUUCAAUUUUCUACCUGCGAGCUCACAACAUUCAACUACUUCACAAAGUCGACAAAGUUAAUAAAUAAAUAUACGUGACAGACUUAUUCUCAGACCAUUUCAAUAUUGGCAAAUAAUAAGUCUCUAAUUUUUAUGAGUCUGCUUAUAAUUUCUUUUGUGUUGACCCUAUUCUCAGGUGAUUCGCUUGUACACUCCAUUGCUAAACUCAAAACAGAUGAUGCACAUGACUGCUUUGCAACAUUAGCGUGUUCUUCAUCUUCACUCAGUAGAUUUGCAUCCAUGAUAUCAAUCACCGCAGGUAACGAGUCGUUAACCCAACGCUUUAUGCUCAUUUCUCCAGUAAAAAAUUCGUUUGUGGGUUUCAUUCCUGUAAAUACUUCCAUCAACAUAAUCCCGUAGCUGUACACAUCACCUUUUAUUGAUACUUGUCCUUCUCUUCCAUACUCUAUAGAUUGCAUAAAUUAAAACAUCAGCAUUCAAUAAUAUUCUGCCAAGAAGAUAAUGAAAAACCAAUACUAAUAUUGUUUAAAAUUAACAAAUAUGAAGCUUAGAACAAACCUGGUGCCAUGUAACCUAUCGUGGCGAGUGUUCGUGUUUGUUUCAUAGAGUCUUCUUCACUUAAGAGCUUUGCAAUCCCAAAAUCACUCAAAUGUGCAACCAUGUUGUCGUCCAACAAUACGUUGCUAGGCUUCACGUCGCAAUGAACAAUAGGAUUGGAAUGACCAAAGUGGAGAUAUUCUAAAGCUGAUGCAACAUCUAUCAUUAUGCCCAAUCUCUGAAAAAUAUCCAAAUUAAAAUUGCUAGCGUACAAACAAUCCUCCAGACUCCCAUUCGGCAUGUACUCUAGUACCAAUGCUUUGAAAUUAUGAUUUGUACAACUGCUGAUAAUUUUGACCAAGUUUCUAUGGCGAAUAGCUUUUAAUAUUUCACAUUCCGCAUCGAAACUAUUUAAUGCUCCUUCCCGUUGUAAGUGAAAUACCUUUAUUGCAACCUCAAUCCCAUCUGGAAACCUGCCUUUAUAAACCGAGCCAUAACUUCCAAUCCCAAUGAGGUUUUCUUCACUAAAUUGAUCCGUUGCUCGCAAAAGCUCAUCAGGUGAGUAUCUUCUCCACAUCACUUGUGGUGACAUAUCAGCUUUAAUGUGUGAAACCUCUGUGCUUCUUCUUUUACGACAUCUGGUGAUCAAUCCAAAUGUAAGAGCCAGUAUGACUGUAACAAUGAACACAGUGCUCAAAGGCAAAACAACUCCUAGAAGAAUAACUUUUUUCCUUGAUUUUUUAUGAGGGCUACUUUUGCACAAUGGAACGUGCAGAUAGGGGGAACCACACAACAAAUCAUUUCCUAUAAAUGAUUCAGCUGAGAAGUUUGCAAAAGCUCCUCCUCUGGGAAUCUCCCCUACUAGUUUGUUGAAAGAGAGAUUCAGACUUUUGAGGUACAAGAGUUUCUCCAAAGAUGCAGGAAUAACACCCGAAAGAUCAUUAUUAGAUAAAUCUAAGAAUUCCAAGCUGACCAACUCACCAAAAGAUUCUGGAAUAGGACCUUGUAGUUUAUUGUGCUCCAAGGAAAGAUGUUGCAGAUUUUUUAGGCCUACAAUUGUGGAUGGGAUAUUCCCCGAUAAAUUAUUCCUUGACAAAUAUAUGUUUACCACAGCUUUCAGAUUUCCAAUCUCCAAUGGAAGAGACCCAUUUAAAGAAUUUGAUGAAAAGUCGAAGCCCAGUAUAUCUUGAAGGUUCCAAAAAGUUGAAGGUAUAACAGAAGUUAACUCAUUUGAACUCAGAGAGAGUAUCCUUAGAGAGUUCAGAUCACCCAAGCAUGAAGGGAUUGAUCCUGAAAGCUUGUUGCGGUUCAAGUAAACCACAUAGAGUCUAGAGAAAUGGCAGAACUCCUGUGGGAUUGGUCCUUCAAAUUUAUUAUUUUGAAGAUCCAAACCUUGGAGUUUCUUUAGUCUACCAAGUGUAAUUGGAAGUGAUCCACUCAAAUUAUUGUAUCCUAAACUCAGCGUUGUCAAGUUGAUCAAGUUGCCAAUCUCUUUAGGAAUCCUGCCAUGAAUGUUACAUUUGUACAUGUAGAUUUCUUCCACAGAAACUGAAAGAUUACCUAUGGAACUUGGAAGGACACCAUCCACAGGAUUUUCCGCCAAAGCAAUCACUUUUAAACUCUUGCAGUUUACCAAAGCAGAAAAUAAGCUCAUCAAUUCGGAGGUUGAGGAUGUCAAGUAGUUGCGUUGUAACCCAAGCCUCUUCAGGUUUCUUAAAUGGCCGAAUGCCUCUGGAAUAAGUCCUGAGAAGGAGUUAUAUCCCAGCUCUAGGGCAUAGAGCUUGGAAGCAUUGAAAAAGAAACUUGGAAUACUGCCACUAAAAUUGUUAAGCCCCAAGUUCAAUAGCUCGAGAUUUGGAAGUCCAAUUAAGUUCUUGCUAGAUGGAAGAUUUCCUGAGAGUGUAUUGUUGAAGAGGCUUAGUAUUUUCAAUGUUGAAAUGUUGAGGAUUGUAUCUGGGAUAAAACCGAGUAGGUUGUUUUGAUCGGUCCCCAAAAUCUCUAGAUUACGUAGAUUUCCGAUUUCUUGUGGAAUCUCACCUGCAAACAUGUACAUAAUUACAUAUUGUUAUGCUAAAUUUUGAACAUUUCUAAAGAUUUGUAAUGAUUAAUAGGCCAUAACAAAAGUACAUUAAAUAAAGGGGCUCAAACAUGAAUAUACAUAUAAAUUGGUAAAUUUUCAGUCAGCCCUUCUUUUCCUGAAUAUUAUUCCAAUUUCCAGCAUAGGCUGCAUAGCCCCCAAGCCUAGACACAUAGUUCCGCCCCCUACACAGUGUAUAAUUGAGUAAGCUAUAACAUAAUAUCUAUAAAAUCUAUAAAUAAAAGUAUACAUAGAAAUUGAUAAAAUUUUCAUUUUAAACCCCAAUUUGACUGUAAUCUUUUCCAAUCUGACCUCCAGGCCCUACACAUAAUUUUGCCCAUAAGUAAUACUCUAUGUGUAUGUAUGAAUUAAUAAAAUCUAUAGAGUGGAACAUGUUAUCUAGGAACGUAAAUUUAAAAAGAAAAUAAAAAAUAAAACAAAUAACACUGUGUGAUUUUGAUUUAUACCUUGGAGUUUGUUAUAGUCAAGAUGUAACUCUUUAAGCUUGGUCAAAUUGCCGAUUUCUUUUGGUAUGGUACCCGAAAACCAAUUAUGACUGAGAACGAGUGUUUGAAGCGAAGAAAGGUUUCCAAGAUAAGAAGGGAUGGUGCCUGUAAGGCCAAGAUCAGAAAUGGUCAAGGAUGUGACUCUAUUGCCAUAGACAUCACAAGUGAUGCCCAUCCAGCUACAAACGGAAGUAUUUGAGGUCCAAUUUUGAGCCAAAAUAUUGUUGGGAUUACCAUUGAUCAUAUGAGCUUUUACGGAAAGAAGAGCAUCUUGGUCUCUGGAUAUGUUUGCUGCAGCUGCCACAAUAGCUGAGAAAAGAAUCAAAUAAGGGACAAAGAGAUAUGGAUCGUUUCUCCCCAUGUUAAUUUUCCAAAGGACAAGCAAAUGCUAAUUAAAAACAAAUAAUGAUACCCAAUAAUUUAUAAGCAGCAGCUAAGUGGGAAUGCAUCUUUUUUAAUUUACAUUACCAGAGACCAAGACUAAGUCAUCAGUUUUAAUAAAUGAUCAUCUUGUUUAGUCUAUUCCACCUCCGCUAGUUGUCUAUCAAAGGAUAAUAAAACCAUGAUGUGCCAAUCACAUUAUUAUUUUUAUUAAACACAAAUUGUUAUCUUACAAUUGGGCGGUGGUUAAGUAAUUUUACUAACUAUGAAAUUCAUCAUCCAAUAGAUGAGCGACACAUAGUAUUAGAUUCAAGUUGGGACUCAAACAGUAAGAUCCCUAACAUUAUUGUUUUAUUUUAUUAUUAUUAUUUUUUGUUAACGUAUCAUAAUCUCACUCACUUACAAGGCCUAUGUUUUCCUAUUUAUAAAAUUCAUACAAUCGUAACCUUUAAAUCUCAAGAAAUCAAAUCUGACAGACAGCUCGGCAUUGAGGUACUGCAAAAGAUACGCCAAUUCACACAACCUAGUCUUGUGUUUUCUUUAAUAUUGCAUGAUAAAUCUAGUUACUUGUACUUUCAACAUUACAUGAUAAAUCGAGCUGCUUUAUUUACAAAUUAAAAAUCAAUGAAAAUCUCCUAAAUUAAUUCUUUAAUUUCACAAAUUUAGAUAUCAAUGGACUCAAUCUCAACUCUCUUUUCAUAUGUAUGAAUAAGAAAAUAGUUUAAUAUUUGAACAUUAUAUAUAAUUCCUGAUUUAAAAUUUAAAUCCUUUUAAAUAUGACAUUGGUUACUAAUGACCAUAUGUGAGGUUGUCAUUACUGUGCGUGUGUAUGUAUAUAUAUAAUUUUUCUCUAAUGAAAAUAUUCCCACUUUGUUAAAGUGAGAGUGCACAUUAAAAUAUAAAAAAAUACAGAUUUCAAUAUAUAGGAAACUGUGUUUUUUUUUUUUGUUAGUAUAUUGAAAUAUGUAUUAUUUUUUAUUUUUUAUUAGCAUUUUCACUUAAAGUGAGAAUGUUCUCGCUGAAGAAUUAUUUUUUAUAUAUCCUAAAUUUGUUAAAGUUUGGAAAAAUUAUUAAGGCAUAAGCUAUUAAAAUAUAUAGUUUAAUAAUUUUCUGGAAUUGUAAUAAAUUCUAAGCUCCUAAAUCAUAUCAAUACUCUCUCUUUCAUACAUAAAUGAUACUCAAAUUUUAUGAAAGAAAUAAAAGACAGAGAAUCACGAGAUCAAUUACUUGACGAAGCAAUGUAUGGGUGGACUUAGACAUCCUCGAGAAUAUUCUUUUUUAACUUUUUUUUUUAAUACUGUUAUAUAGGACUGUAGGUAUUACAAUUAAUAUUUACAAACAGAUUCUACAAUUGAAACCUUCUUCGUGGCAUGUACUCCUCUGAAGCGCUGCCCAAAUUCUUCAAACAAUCCUCCAGACUCCCAUUCGGCAUGUGCUCUAGUAUCAAUGCUUUGAAAUUAUGAUUUGUGCAACUGCUGAUAAUUUUGACCAGGUUUCUAGGGCGAAUAUUUUUUAACAUUUCACAUUCAGCAUCGAAGCUAUUUAAUGCUCCUUCACGUUGUAAGUUAAAUACCUUUAAUGCAACCUAGGUUCCAUCUAGAAACCUGCCUUUAUAAACCGAGCCAUAACUUCCAAUCCCGAUGAGGUUUUUUUCACUAAAUUGAUCCGUUGCUCGCAAAAGCUCAUCAUGUGAGUAUCUUCUCCACAUCACUUACGGUGACAUAUCGGCUUUAAUGUGUGAAACGUCUGUGCUUCUUUUUUUACGACAUCUGGUGAUUAAUCCAAAUGUAAGAGCCAGUAUGACUGCAACAAUGAACACAGUGCUCAAAGGCAAAACAACUCCCAAGAGAAAAACUUUUUUCCUUAAUUUUUUAUGAGGGCUACUUUUGCAAAGUGGGACUUGCAGAUGGGGUGAACCACACAACAAAUCAUUUCCUAUAAAUGAUUCAGCUGAGAAGUUUGCAAAAGCUCCUCCUCUGGGAAUCUCUCCUACUAGUUUAUUGAAAGAGAGAUUCAGACUUUUGAGGUACAAGAGUUUCUCCAAAGAUGUAGGAAUAACACCGGAAAGAUUAUUAUUUGAUAAAUCCAAGAAUUCCAAGCUGACCAACUCACCAAAAGAUUCUGGAAUAGGACCUUGUAGUUUAUUGUGUUUCAAGGAAAGACGUUGCAGAUUUUUUAAGCCUACAAUUGUGGAUGGGAUAUUCCCAGACAAACGAUUCCAUGACAAAUCUAUGUUUACCACAGCUUUCAGAUUUCUAAUCUCCAAUGGUAGAGACCCAUUUAAAGAAUUUGAUGAAAAGUCGAAGGUCAAUAUAUCUUGAAGAUUCCAAAAAGUUGAAGGUAGGACAGAAGUUAACUCAUUUGAACUCAGAAAGAGAUUCCUUAGAGAAUUCAGAUCACCUAAGCAUGAAGGGAUUGAUCCUGAAAGCUUGUUGUGGUUCAUGUAAACAUCAAAGAGUUUAGAGAAAUGGCAAAACUCCUGUGGGAUCGGUCCUUCGAAUUUCUUAUCAUGAAGAUCCAAACCUUGGAGUUUCUUUAGUCUACCAAGCGUUAUUGGAAGUGAUCCACUCAGAUUAUUGCAUCCUAAACCCGACGUUAUCAAGUUGAUCAAGCUGCCAAUCUCUUUAGGAAUCCUACCGUGAAUGUUGCAUUUGUACAUGUAGAUUUCUUCCACAGAAACAGAAAGAUUACCUAUGGAACUUGUAAGGACACCAUCUAGAGGAUUUUCCGAUAAACCAAUCACUUUUAAACUCUUGCAAUUUACCAAAGCAGAAAAGAAGCUCAUCAAUCUGGAGGUUGAAGAUUUCAAGUAGUUAUGUAGUAACCCAAGCCUCUUCAGGUUUCUUAAAUUGCCCAAUGCCUCAGGAAUAAGUCCUGAGAAGGAGUUAUAUCCCAGCUCUAGGUGAUAGAGCUUGGAAGCAUUGAAAAAGAAACUUGGAAUACUCCCACUAAAAUUGUUAAGCCCCAAGCUCACUGCCUUGAGAUUUGGAAGUCCAAUUAAGUUCUUGCUAGAUGGAAGAUUUCCUGAGAGGGUAUUGUUGAAGAGGCUAAGUAUUUUCAAUGUUGAAAUAUUGAAGAUUGUAUAUGGGACAAAACCGACUAGGUUGUUUUGAUUAAUCCCCAAAUCACUAGAUUACGUAGAUUGCCGAUUUCUUGUGGAAUCUCACCUGCAAAUAUAUACCUAAUUACAUAUUCUUAUGCUAAAUUUUGAAAAUUUCUAUAGAUUUUUAAUGAUUGAUUUCGUCUAUAUUUACGUACUUAAGAAAGAAAUAUGUGUUAUAGAUUAUAGAUGAUAAAUAGCCAAGGUACGUACCGAUCAAGUUGUUAAAGGCAAGAUAGAGCAAUUUGAGCUUGGUCGAGUUCCCAAGAUCUCUUGGUAUACGGCCUGUGAAUUGAUUAAAUGACAAUGAAACACUACUCAGCUCUUUACAGUGCCACAAAUUGUUUGGAAUUGGCCCUUUGAAUUGAUUAUAAGACAUGUACAAUCCUUUAAGACGUGGAAGGCCUUGACACAUGUCAUCAGGAAAGCUACCAGUUAGGCUAUUAUUUGAAAAAUCCAAAGCAGUUAAUAUAGAAGAAAGAUUGAAGAUUGAAGCAAGAAUGGUUCCUGUUAACAAGUUAUUAUUUAGCAUUAACACUUCCAAUUCUGCCAGGUUGCCCAACUCCUCAGGAAUUUCUCCUGCAAAUUAAAUGAAGCAACAUGUGUUAAUAUAUUUACCAUUCAACUUAACGAGGAUAUAAGAGCCAUAGAUUGGAAGAUGUGAUCUAGGCAGGGAAACUUAGUACUAACGGAUGCGGCAUUAUAUCAUUAGUUGAGUGAACAUAUAAAUAAUAAAGAGUAAAUCAUGUGGUUUAUGUAGUGUUUUUAUUCAACCAAUCAUAUUAAGUCACGUUAGUUUGUACAAAAAUAAUUUGUACAAAAAUUUAUAGGUGUAUCAUUACUCAUUUACAUAACACUUGUGAUGGAACUAGUAUUUUCAUUUUGACAGGAGCUGUAAACUAUAUACUUAAAAGAGAAUGUAACACAAAUUAAGAAGGCUGAUAGUCAUGACCAUAAUAGAGAAAUUAUAAAACUAGUUAGGUCAUAACAAAAGUACAUUAAAUAAAGGGGGCCAAAAACUAAAUAUACAUAUAAAUUGGUAAAUUUUCAAUCAGCCCUUAUUUUCCUAAAUAUUUUUCUAGCAUUAGCCCCCAAGCCUGGACACAUCGUUCGGCCCCCUACACAGCACUCUUGUGUUCUGUAUGAUUGAGUAAGCAACAACAUAAUAUCUAUGAAAUCUAAGAACAAAAGUACACAGAGAAAUUGAUAAAAUUUUCAUUUUAACCCCUAACUUGCCUGAAAUCUUUUCCAAUCUGACCUCCGGGCCCUACACAUAAUUUUGCCCCUACAUAUUACUCUCUGUGUAUGUGUCAACUAAUUCAAUUAAUAAAAUCUAUAGAGUGGAACAUGUUAUCUGGGAACGUAAAUUAAAAAGAAAAUUAAAAAAAAAUAAAACACAACACUGUGUGAUUUUGAUUCAUACCUUCGAGUUUGUUAUAGCGAAGACGUAACUCUUUAAGCUUGGUCAAAUUGCCGAUUUCUUUUGGUAUGGUACCCAUAAACCAAUUAUGACUGAGAACAAGUGUUUGAAGCGAAGAAAGGUUUCCAAGCUGAGAAGGGAUGGUGCCCGUAAGGCCAAGAUCGGAGACAAUCAAGGAUGUGACUCUAUUGCCAUAGACGUCGCAAGUGAUGCCCAUCCAGCUACAAACCGAAGUAUUUGAGGUCCAAUUUUGAGCCAAAAUACUGCUGGGAUUAUCAUUGAUUAUAUGAGCUUUUACAGAAAGAAGAGCAUCUUGGUCUCUGGAUAUGUUUGCUGCAGCUGCCACAAUAACUGAGAAAAGAAUCAAAUAAGGGACAAAGAGAUCUGGAUCGUUUCUCCCCAUGAUAAUUUUCCAAAGGACAAGCAAAUGCUGAUUAAGUAUAAAUACUGAUACCCAAUAAUUUAUAGGCAGCAGCUAAGUGAGAAUGCAUCUUUUUUAAUUUACAUUACCAGAGACCAAGACUAAAUAAUCGGUUUUAAUAAAUGAUCAUCUUGUUUAGUUUAUUAAACUCGAGCUGUUAUCUUAAUCUUGCACAUUUCUCUCUUUCUGAUUUGUUUAAAAGAACUCGACUGAGUGACUUAUUCACAUGUGAACUCAAUUCAUGAGUCAUUUUAUACUAUUUCCCUGAAGUCGAGCUUGCAUGUUCUGGAAUCAAAGUCAAAAGGGUCAAAGCGAGGUAGCGGAAGUAAAUUGAGAGGGUAUGUAGCCACUAUAUAUGGUUUUAGAACCUAAUCGAAGCAUGAUUAUAUUUCUUUCCAAUCCAAACGACUCAAUGAGAUUUUUUUUGUAAUGCUUUAAAUGAGAUUAAAUGACUUUAUAAUUUAAACGAUUUUACAAGAGAGAUUUUGAUAAAUAAUCUGAAAGUAACUUUUAAAAGAUAGAUUUUUAUUGAACAAUAAAAGUUGAACUUGAACUAACAAUGACAAGAAUUUCUAAUUUAUAAUAAAGUAAACUUAGUUCUUGAAGUUAACAUGGAAAGAAAAAUUAAAUCACAAAAAAAUAUAAUACUAAAACACAUUAUAAUUGACUCUAAUUACAAUAGCAAAGGCUUAAAAUAACAAAAUUCUAAAAUAACAUCUUACAUCACUGAAUUAUCAAAGUAUUAGCGUGAUUAUAUUGCAGCAUCUAUAAGGAACAACAAUUGUGUUUUCUAUUGUUAAUAAUAACAAGUUAUAUAUACAUUAUUAGCAAUGACGCUUUCGUUGCACGAACUUAUAUAUGUCCGUGAUGUGUGUUUUAUUAAUUAUUUGUAAUAUGUAAUGGCAAUAUUAUUACCAAUAACAAACAACUUAUUAUCAAUAACGAAUCGAUCAUUUAAUUAAUAAAAUUGAAAUUUAGUACAAGCAUGAAAUUCCUACUUAUUUACAAGCUCGAUGCAUCUUUUUUAAUUUACAUUACCAGAGACCAAGACUAAAUAAUCAGUUUUAAUAAAUGGUCAUUGUUUAGUUUAUUCGCUAGCUGUCUAUAUAUCAAAGGAUAAUUAAACUAUGAUGUGCCAAUCGCAUUAUCUAUUUUAUUAAACACAAGUUGUUAUCUUAAUCUUGCACAUUUUUCUCUUUCUGAUUUCUUUGAGAGUUGGACUAUUGGCACCCCUCCAUAAUUCUUUUAAAACCUCUCUUCUAUUAUAAUUACAUUUUUGGACAAAUUCUCUAAUAUAUCUCACGUCUAUUUUAUCUCACUUCAAACUUUUGCAUUUUCUCUCUUUUUUUAAAAAAAAAAAAAAAAAAACUCUUGUAUUUUCUUUGCUAUCACACUCAUACAUGUAAUUUUUUUUCUCAAAUUCUCUAUAAAUUUUUCUUCAAUUAAUAAGAUAAUCUAUUGAUAAUAAAUAAAACACAUUCUGAUAAAUUUAUCUUACUUUGUUUUAGGCUCAUACUAAAACUUUUUACAUCAUAAUCUUAGAGAUAAUUUAUUUGGUUCAUUAAUUUUUAUCAAGAAGUUUAUCACCAAUAAAAAUUAUUUGUGAGGUGCGAGAAAAAAAAAAUUAAAAGAUUCAUAAAUUAAAUGUGUUUAUUUAGAAAUAAGGGUAAUUUUGGCAUUAGGUUUAGUAUAAUUAAAAAAGGGGUUUAAAAAAAACUUUGGAGGGCCAAUAGUCCAACUCUUUGUUUAAAAGAACUCGACUGAGUGACUUAUUCACAUGUGAACUCAAUUCAUGAGUCAUUUUAUACUAUUUUCCUGAAGUUGAGCUUGCAUGUUCUGGAAUCAAAGUCAAAGGGUUCAAACUAGAUGAAAAAGUGAGGUAGCGGAACUAAAUUGAGAGGGUAGAUAGCCACCGGAUAUGGUUUUAGUACCUAAUCAAGAAACAUGAUUAUAUCUCGUUUCAAUCCAAACGACUCAAUAAUAUUUUUUAUAACGCUUUAAGGGUGCAUUUGGCACACUGUAUUGUAUUAUAUUGUAUUGCAUUAUUUUAAUACUGGUGUAUUAUAUUAUGUUGUAUUUCAUUAGUAUUGUAUUAUAACAAUAGUGUACAAUAUUUGGUGUUACAGUGUACUGUAUUAAUUUUUUUGUGAUUAAUUUAAAUUAAAUAUUAUAUUAUAUUAAUAUAUUUAAAUUGUAUUAUUAUUUUAUAUUAUUAUUUAUUUCAGAUUAAUAUUAUUCAAAUUUAUUCAUAUUUAAAUAUUUAUUAUUAGUUAUAAUAAAAUAUUAAUUUAUUAAUUUAUAUUAAUAAUUAUAAUGUAAAAAUAAAAAAUUAUAUAAUAUUAUAUUAAAUUAAAAAAUUAUAUUAUUAUUAUUAUAAUAAAACAAAAGCAAAAGGGAAAAAAAAAAAAAAAAGCAAGCGGCAACUACCGCAUUAGCUUGGGCCCAUUAAUACAAUGGUCUUGUAGUUCUUUAUCUACCAAACAUGGGCUUGUAUAAGUUUAAUGCAAUAAGAGAUUUUAAUACAACAACCAAACAAGCGUUAAAUGAGAUUAGAUAAUGUUCUAAUUUAAACGACUCUAAAAAAAAGAUUUUGAUAAAUAAUUUGAAAGUAACUUUCAAAAGAUAAAUUUGUAUUGAACAAUUAAAGUUGAACUUGAACUAACAAUGACAAUAACUUCUUAUUUAUAAUAGGGUAAAUCUACUUCUUGAGGUUAACAUCGAAAGAAAAAUUAAAUCACAAUAAAAAUAAAAUAUUAAAACACAUACUAUAAUUGACUCUAAUUAAAAUAGCAAAGGCCUAAAAUAAAAAAAAUUCUAAAAUAAUAUCUUACAUCACUAGAUUAUCAAAGUAAUAGUGUGAUUAUAUUGCAGCAUGUAUAAGGAACAACAAUCGUGUUUUCUAUUGUAAAUAGCAAGUUAUAUAUACAUUAUUAGCAAUAACGUUUUCGUUGCAUGUAAAAUUUAUGUACGUCAAUCAAGCCGCUUAUGCUUACAAUUCAGAGAUUAAAUGUAAGAUGCAAAACUUGUUUGUUUUGAAAUACUAAUGUGAGUUCACUUGUAGCAAUUGGGCAUGUUUCUGAUGGAGGAUAAAAUUGUAUGUGAAUAUAAAUAAAUUACAACUUAAUAUCCACAUCUUCUAGAACAUUCUAGACCUUAGAAUGGUCUAAAACACUUAAACCAAAUUCAAAAGUUUAAUUUGUCUUAGAGUUAAUUAUACUCGGUGCAUGAUUCUUUUUCAUCGCUUUCUAAAUUUUAUUUUAAGUAAUGCUAGAUAUCUCAAUAUAUAAGUUUCAAUUUGAAUCUCAACUAAAUGACACAUAACAUUGAGAAUCAGGUUGGAACUGAAACAAUGUGAUCCCUAUUUUCUCCGUUACUUUGUCUCUUCAGUCUUGUCAUCUAUUUUCUCUCUUUUAAGUUUUUAAUCACCUCUCUUGCUAGAUUUAUAAUUGUCUUUCGGUUAGCUGAUAUAUAAUUUCAUAACAAUUAUGACAGAAAGAGUGGAAAUAAAAGUGACAAAUUAAUUAAAAAGUGAAGAGCGGUCUUUUUAGAACUCAAGUAUUGAAAUCUGUCCUUUUUAUAUAAAAGUAAGAAGCUAAUACAACAUUUUAUUUUCAUUAAAAUUGCCCUCGUUAUCCAAGGUUCAUUCAAAAAAAUAAAGUUUAUGUAAUGGAAUUUGAAAGUAGAAAUUUUUUUUCUAAUUAAUCAAUAUGAAUUGUUGUACCCAUUUCAUUUUGAUUGAUGGAAUAAUUUGUACUUUGACCUGCAGAGUCUGCUGAAUGCAAAGAUCCAACUUCUAAAAGUGGGUAUUCUAUGCUAUUCGUUCAGUCCUGUUUAGAUUGGAUUCGGGUUGAGUUUGAAAUGUGUUUGUAUUAGAUUCGAAUCAGACCUAAUUAAUUUCGGACGGCAAUUGCACAUUAAAAUAAUAAUAAUAAUAAAUAUUGAAAGCAAAAGACAAGGCUAUUUUAUUCCUAAGUAAUCUAAACUAAGAUGCCAUUAUUGACCAAUUCCAAGAUCUUAAAAUUAGAAAGUAGCAGCAGCAGCCGCGCGAUUUCAUGUUAUAAAUUUCAUGAACACAUAUUCAAACACCAUCAAUUAGAUAGAAAGUAGGGUACUGUUCAUACAACAAUAUUACUGUAGCACACAAAACCACAAUAUUCUUUAUGCUACAGUACUGUCAUUUUUAUCAUGGUGGUGUUUUGUCGAUUGUCAAAUAUCAUUAUUCAUAUUUCGUUAUUUCAUUGUCUCACAGUUUGUAGAAAUGCUCAGUCUCAGUUAAGUACAGCAGCAGCGGAUGCUGUGAAGCAGCUGAUUCCAGAAUCAGCAGAUACUGACUUGCUUCCACCUCAAGACUGUGGAUUAUCAAAGCAUGCCCCGAGUUCUACUCCACAGACAAGAGCAACACUUGCACCACCAAACACUUGUACUUCGGCCUGUAUCUGCAUGCAAAUUCACGGAGGUCACGGUCAUGAGUUUGUUUCUUCAUGCAAAGCAACGGCCACUGCUGCGUUGUUUCUUCUUAUUUCUGCCAAUUCGAAGUCUAGCUGAGAGUGAACAGACACAAAUUCGCCUAAGCCAUACUUAGAGCUCUGGCAAUUAAGCUGGCAACAACCGCUACAAGCAUUGCUUUGGACUACUGCUGCUUGAUAGUGCCGACUCCUAUUACUUGUGAAGAUGUUGACAUAAUGCCAUCGUUGGCUUCUAAGAUUGCUGCUCUAAUCAACUGAGAGCGUUUUGAAUAGUCCCCGCUGUUGGCUGUUUCUGCUGUUGACUGAUUACUAGUGAUCUCAGAUGGUUGGCAGAAAACUCAAAAGAGGAGAGAAUACAGAAGCGGAUCGUGCCCUUUAAGUCACAUGUUGCUUUCUACCACAUCGUUUCAAACGAAGUUUUACUAUAAUAUUUCUCUAGUUUGGACUUGGUAUGUAAUUAAUAGUCAUUGCUUUGGUCAAUACACAGCCUCUUUUCCUUGUACAUGAAGGGAAUAUUUAGAUUGUUAUUCUUUCAUCCAGAAUAAGGACAUGAAAGAGCACGAUUUUUGUAUCUAUUAGAAUAGACCGAACAAUUUUUGUCAGAAGUAAUUAUGUAUAUUGACAGUAUAGCUGAACAGGUUGAGGAAAUAUAUAUCUGUUGAGAGAAGACUUGUUCUCGUAAGACAAAAAUUCUAGCCUCUAUGCUUGCAGCUGGAGGGGCCUCUGUUUCUGAACGGGGGAACUCUGUUUCAGCAGGCUUGCUUAGAAGGGUUGGAUUCGUUACUGGGGCAAAUUGGACACAUGAUGAGGUGCAAAUUUAGGAAUAUUUUUGUCUCAUAUAAGAUAAAAAAUAUAUGCACGUAGCCGUUUACAAAGUGAUCAAUUCAUCACACACGAAACAAAUAAUUGAUCUGCAAGUCAUCGUAAUUCGUUUCAAUUUUCUACCUGCGAGCUCACAACAUUCAAAUACUUCACAAAGUCUACAAAGUUAAUAAAUAAAUAUACGUGACAGACUUAUUCUCAGACCAUUUCAAUAUUGGCAAAUAAUAAGUCUCUAAUUUUUAUGAGUCUGCUCAUAAUUUCUUUUGUGUUGACCCUAUUCUCAGGUGAUUCGCUUGCACACUCCAUUGCUAAACUCAAAACAGAUGAUGCACAUGACUGCUUUGCAACAUUAGCGUGUUCUUCAUCUUCACUCAGUAGAUUUGCAUCCAUGAUAUUCAUCACCGCAGGUAACGAGUCGUUAACCCAACGCUUUAUGCUCAUUUCUCCAGUAAAAAAUUCGUUUGUGGGUUUCAUUCCUGUAAAUACUUCCAUCAACAUAAUCCCAUAGCUGUACACAUCACCUUUUAUUGACACUUGUCCUUCUCUU
rnacentral:lncRNA from 1 species